GCUGGUAGGAGGCGCGCGACGACUGCAACCUCCACGAUGCCCAUCUGCUCACUAUCACGGACUCUCACGAGCAGGCCUUUGUGCACGGUCACAGCAAGGCCGUGCUCACCACUCCCUCGCUGUGGCUGGACGCCGACGCCCCCUUCGCCGAGAGCGGCGGCCGGUGGGCCGACGGCUCCCCGUUCAGCUACGUCCACCUGAGCGCCGGUCACCAUGGCGACAAAGUUGGGGGACGCUGCCUUUCCUUUCUCAUUGACAACGGCGACUGGAAAUUUGACGUGUGCGAGAUCAAGAGAGGCUACAUCUGCAAGAGAAGAGCGGCGACAGCGCAACAAGCUCCGCUGCCUCACGCCGGUUUCCUCAAGCAAGAGAUAUGCGAGAACGCCGACAACCGAGCCAUUUGCCCCGAAGACAGAGUCAUGCGCAUCCAGUCGGCCUUCUACGGACGGAGGAGCAGCAACGUCUGCUCGGCCCAACGCGGCUCAGACGCCAAAUGUACGGUGGAAGGUGCCCUCCUUCACUACAGGAAAGAGUGCGACAACUGCCACCAGUGCCUCGUCAAGCCCAUGAAGGAGGACCCCUGCCCCGAGGUCUCCAAAUACCUCCAGAUGGUCUACACCUGCGAAACGGACGAGUGUUUUCACAGUUUAGGCAACACCCAAGGCAGCCUGAAAAAGUUGAAGCUGAGAGCCUCCUCC